UUCUUCGGGGCAGGGUGCAAUUCCCUACCGGCGGUGAUUUGCUUAAGGCAAUCAGUCCGCGACCCGUUUUUGGCAGAUGGACAAAACGGCUGAUUUGGUGAAAAUCCAAAACCGACAGUAUAGUCUGGAUGAGAGAAGAA
rnacentral:ncRNA from 1 species